AUUCAAUGUCCAAAGGAAUAAAAUGGAAUAGGCACAUAUCGAAAGCAAAUGCGGAACAAUAGGAUAUACAUGUGCCUAUAUGAGUCAAUACGAUAUAGCAUAAACGUUACACAAUAGUUUUCAAGAAUGCAAAUAAUUUUAAGGAUAAGAGCAUAUAAGAAUUCAAAGCAGUAAUAUAGAGCUCAAUUGAAUAAGAAAGCUAAAGGAUAUCAAUUUCCAAAGGAAUGAAACCAAAAUAUGCGAAAUCGACCAAAGCUCGAUUUCUAGCAGAAUUCAAGAGGCACAUUGAACAAAUAAUUCAAACUAUCAAUCGUGCUCCAAUUUACUCAGAAAUAUA
rnacentral:lncRNA from 1 species